rnacentral:sRNA from 1 species
CCCGCCGUUGAAACGGCGGGCUAUUUUCAAUCGUCCCUCCGGGACU